AUACGUAGGGAGCAAGCGUUGUCCGGAAUUACUGGGUGUAAAGGGAGCGUAGGCGGGAAAGCAAGUUGAAUGUUUAAUCUAUGGGCUCAACCCAUAUCAGCGUUCAAAACUGCUUUUCUUGAGUGAAGUAGAGGUUGGCGGAAUUCCUAGUGUAGCGGUGAAAUGCGUAGAUAUUAGGAGGAACACCAGUGGCGAAGGCGGCCAGCGUGGGUCUUUUACUGACGCUGAGGCUACGAAAGCGGUGGGGAGA
rnacentral:rRNA from 1 species